UAACUAGUGGGCCAGUGGUCCAUAUCAAAUCAUUUGGUAAUAAAAUGUGGUCUAAAGUGAAAACAUAGCUUAGGACCUAGUCCAAAGUGCUACAUAGGUAAUAAAACAUGGUCCAAACAGUAAUUCACUCUUUUUUUUAUAGGGACGUGGAGGCCAGAGGACUCUUCUGAAAUACAAGUUUCUCGAUGGGAACUUUAUGAAAUUUUGAUGCGAAUGAUCUAACGGUUCACAUUUCUUAACCUCUAUAUCAAAUGGACUACAUUUUGCCAUCGACGUGGAUACAUAAUUUUGCAAGAAAGGACACUCUCCUUUCACUUGUUUAGAUUUGCCUGCACUCCAUGCUAGCUGUGAAACCAAUUGUUGUUGCUGCUACACAAGACCCCAAAUUUUCUGUUGCUGCUAGAAACUUUGCAGUUGUUAGAUCUUUAUUUGUUCAGAAAGGUGAUGAUUUUGUCUAUAAAAAGUUAUGUUUCUUCUUGAAUUCGUAUUGGAUGAUUAUAAAAGAAAAACUAAUCCUAUCCUAUAUAACUAUACAAUUGAUCCCCACUUACUGCAGUUAAUUCUAAUUUCCUGUUACAAGGUUGAGCCACGUCAUUAGAAUUAGUAGAGCCGUUCGAUUUUAUCUGAUCGCUCCUUGCUUCUAAUCUCUCUGCCGUUCAUCCUUGCCGAUUGAGCCAAGCCUAUCACACUCAACCAGCCCAACCCAUCUGAUCUGCUCCCAUCCGGUGACGCAUGCCAUGCCCAUGCAACACUGCGUAACAAUUCAUGCUGCAUAUUAUCGAUCCCCUUCAAUGCUGCACGCAUGGGCGUGCUCCGGCUCCCAUUCAGUUCAUUCGUCUGAUCGCCUCCCAUCCCACUUCACCUGAAACCGUUGGUCCCCUCAUAAUUCUAUCAGUGUUCAUGCUGCAGAACGUCGUCCUAAAGUCAUAUUGAUUGCUCGACUGCCACUAGAAGCAGCUAUAAACCAUUGCAAUUCUCUCUUUAAGUUCAUCCGUUAGUUCCACAAUUUCUUGCACAAAGACCAUCAACCUCAUGCUGUGGUGCACUGCGACUCUGUUAGCAGGACUGUGGAUGGUCAUCAUCGUCUGAUGAUUUAAUUACUCCGGCAAGCACAUGUAGUUACAUCCCGAUCUCUCCCUCUCCCAUUACUUUCUAAAUUUUUGUGGCAAUCUCCUGUUUCCUGCUAUUGAUUAAUUUGUUUCGGUUCACGUACGCAUGGAUUCUUGACUAUAAAAGUUGAAGAGAUAAUCAAAUCUUUUAGGCGCUCUCUGCACUUUCACCUAGCAGUAUGCCCAUCUUUAUUUUUGUUUACUUUGUACUUUUGUUUGCUCAUUCUCAUACACUGAUAGUUCUUUUUUUCUAGAAUAUCAGAAAAUCUCAAUCUCUCUCUCUCUCUCUCUCAAACACACACACACACACACACACACAACAUUCUACUCUUAGCUGCACAUGCAUGGAUAUUAAGAUGGACUGUGAGGCACAAGGAACGAGUUGUCAAUCAUCCCUCAGAUUUCAGUUUUUGCCGAAAUAUAUUUUGGAUUGUGCAUUUUUUAACUUGCUGAGGUUGCACCAAUGCCAAAUUAUAUUAGUUGGUAGUAUUUUGUUAGGGUAAAUGCGGUAAGCGCUUUUGCAACUAAUUUCAUACUUCAAGCCUAAUCCAUUUUAUUUUGUCUCAUAUUAUGUUUAAUAUUUAAUCUUUUCUAGAUUAAUCUCAAUAAUCCUUUUUGCAUGUUUGUGCAAGUUCCAAAUCAGAAUUCCACAUCCUUGAGGUAAUCCUUCCUGUCCCUUUUGAAAAAUUAUUUUUUCGUACUCGAAUCAUGAAUAGAUAUUUUAAUGUUGGCAAAUCCUAUAUAAAGCAUUGGAAGUGUUGUUAAUCACACAAAUAUCCCGCAGCAAAGCGCGGGGUUUUAUCUAGUUUGUUUUAAGGUGGUUCUUGAGCUCAGAAAACACAAUCACGAUUAUAAACAAAAUUAAUGGCUUGGUAGUUAAUGGUAUUUAACCUGAUGUUGGUGCCUUGAAUUAACCUGAAACUGAAGGGGAAAAUCUUUUACAUUCCUGGUUUGGAAAGUACUAUAUGGAAUGGAUUUCCUGUAUAAUCAGAUCGAAGGGGACAAACUUAUAUAGUUCUAUUAUGAGAAGUAUUGUAUUACAUUUUCUUUGCCACUUUCUGAAAAGUACUGUCGGAUGCCAAGUUUUCAGAAUUCUUAGAAUGGCUGCAGCUGCCCUCGACUACUUCUGCCUGGCAUCCGCCGCAAUCGGCUUCGCCCCUGCCGCGCUGUGCUGAGCUAGGUUGCCUGCGCCAGCGGAGUCGUCCUCCCGGCGGUGCCUCGUCAACAUCUCCUCGUCCAUCUGCUCAUCGUUGUACACUCACUGGCGUUUCCCUGAAAUAUGGAAGUUAUAUUUCAUUCUAACGAAAUUUCCCCACUUCAUGCAACUCAUUUCUUGUGUUCAUUCACAACCUUCUGUCCUCGAGGUUGGCUCAUUGCAUACUGGUGCCCACGAUUCACCGUCAUAGCCCUAAAAUCGCUGCUGCCCUUGACUUCCUCCCAUAGUCCACCAGUAAUCACCGCCUGUCAGGGGUCGUCAACGUCCUAUCCCGGUCUCCACCUCCACUCGCGCUCUGUCGGACGACUCGAACCCCUUCAACAAGGGUGAGCAUCAAGUGGUCCUGAGGGCUGCAGCAACAAAUUCAACUAGGCUUCAGGAAGGGAUCGCUCUGGUGUGGGACGCGUGAUUGAAGACCUUUGCUCUGUGCUCUCUUAUGGAGUACAUGUUAACCGUUUGUCCAAUUUGGCGGCUCAUUCUCUAGUUCGGCAUGCCGAUCUUUCUAUGUGUACUGUGUACCGUUAUAUAAUACUGGAUUACAUCCGGGGCAUACUUUGUGAAGAUGUUGCUUGAUCAAUGAAUGGCAUAUGACGCCUUUCUCCAAAAAAAAAAAAAAAAAACCCUCACCAGUUCAGUUAAAAGAAUAAUAGAAGGUGUAGUGUUGUUGAUUCCCUGAUACUUUAUGUUUAUUGCCUGCAAUGUUUGUUCUGACGAUGCAUAUGGUCGAAAUGUUUUCAUGACAUGCUCUGCGCUUGGGCAUGUAUUACUGACAUAGCGUAAGCAGACAAAUUUUAGUCAUUUCUAGUUGACCAAAGGAUCCAACACUAAGCAGCCAAAAGCAUAUAUCUGACUGUAGACAUUUUUUGAGCCUAUUUCCCCCUACGAUCAAGCUGAAGAAAUCAUCAAAGUUUGGAAUUAGCAAGGUAAUUGCACAUUUGUACUCUAGCCAAGGGCAUCUCUACAAAUACAAGAAUCAAAAACAGCAAUAGGACAUUUCAAACUAAUGAGAAUAUUUCGGACAGCAAAGUGGA